rnacentral:misc_RNA from 1 species
CAAGUUUCCUCCCCACUGCUUGUAUUGGUUUCUGUAAAGUAAAUAAACAAAUCGGGCAGGUGACAAUACAAUGUGUUUGCUGAAAUACUCAUUUUAAAAUGGUCGAGGUUGGCUUGAAAUUGUUGGUCGUAAUUUACAGUGUGUUUACACGCUGUUUCGCAGUCACUCACUGGGUAGUGACCGAAAAUGGACGUAUACAGGCCCAGCUUGAUUCAGCAUUCCAUUUGCGACGGCCAUAUGACCUUUUUGCUCUGCUAGAACAAGAGAGUAGAGUGCGAGCAAUUGAUCACCUACAUCAUGAUUUAAUUUCCCGAAAAGCGGCAAUUGACAGACACUGGGCGAGCCUUGAGGGAGCAACUGACAUUGAGACGCGCUUUUACUCUGAAGAUAGUGAUUGUAUUCGUGCUGGCCGUCGUUUAACAGAUACCGACUUAUAUGAUAGUGCAUUAGGAGACCUUAAAGAAAGAAUAAGGAUAGAGAAAUUUUUGCCAUCGAGUUUAAUUCAGGAAAAUUACUUUAAGAAACCAGAUUGUACAAAGGCAGCUCGAUUGGACUUUAGCAUGAGGACAUUUGAACAUCUCAAGGCUAUGGUUGAACGCAGAAAUCUUAGUAUGAGCCCAGAGCUCCUAGUACUUCAAGAUCUUGUGGUGAAUGGGGAUAUAAAUUUCUUUGUGCACCAGAUUUCUUCCUCACUGCAGAAGAACAGAACAUCGUGGUUGCAUUACAAUCUUGCAGCAGCUUAUUGGCGAGCUGAAGGAAAUGCUCCAAAAGCUAUUGAAUGUGCUCGAAGAGCUGUCCACUUUUCCCCAAGACAGUACCGUGACUUGGCUCUCCUCACAUUGGGAGGAACACUUCACCGAUCCAGUCAUCCAGCAGAGGCUGCAAUUGUCAUGCAUGCUGCUGUUGAUCAUGCUCCUGAUAAAGCCUGGAGUCAUAUGGCACUUGGGAAUGUGUAUGCUGUAUUGGGUGACUAUAACAGAUCUGCAACAUGCUUUGACAAUGCUCUGAAGCUCCGACCUUCACUCAAGAAGGCUCUUAUCUACAAGCAUGCUGUUCUGUGCCACUACAAACUGGAGAAGACAUUACUUCAGUUGCAUGGAUCACUACAAGACAUUGUAGCAGAACUGCAUGAAUAUCACAACCGACAAAAGCAGUGGCUUAAAUAUCAAGAGGAUGCGGUGUGGCACCAAGCACCACUUGAACUUAGACUUGCCACUGCAGACAGGCAGUUAUUAUCUUCAUCCAAAAACAGAGCUCCAGGGCGAGCAUGUUUGCAGAAAAUUGUGGAUGGACAUGCAGUCCUUAGCUGUGAAGUGAAUGCUGAAAGCCAACUUAUAGCCCAAAGUGUGACACUGAGUCUCCAAAUGCUGCUGAAGAAUGUUGAAUUGCAGGUAAAACUAAUCAGCAAACAAAUGUCUGCAAACAGUCCAAAGACAUCUUGGCAGGAAUCAGAUGCAGUGAGCCUUUUGAAAGAUUCUCCUCCAUUACGUGUUGUGGAAACACAGAAGAAGAAAAGCAAAAAAACACAUUCACCAUCUUCCACAGUUCCAGAGAUCUUUGAAGAACAAAAAAGGUUGAGAGAUAAAGAUUGUGUUGCUGUUGCCGGGCACCGCAUACCAAUCUCUCUGCCUCCAGUGUACCUGUCUCCAGAGACAAAGGGAUUCAAGCCAUCAAAAUAUCUCAAUUCUCUCAUUGGUUUGGCUCCUGGAAGAGAACACAGCCUCCCAUGGUAUCCUCCCAUAUGUACCAUAAGCAGUGUGGCACUGACGAAUGAUGAUGGCCUUUAUGCUCCUGAAAUAGAGUUAAAAGAUGAACUUAUGAAAUAUGUGGACAGACAUAACAGUAUUGAUGCAGAGGUUGGACAAAGAAUUGUCACAGCCAUUAAAGAGGAAGUUGGUCCAAGUUGGCUGUUACAUGUACUAGCAGCAUUGUAUUGGCGAAUUAAGGGCAAUGGACGACAUGCUCUAGACUGCCUAACCAUUGCAUUAGCAGCAAGUCCUCAUCGAGUCCGUGAUGUGUCAUUAGUGUCACAGGCAGCAGUUUUGCAUCAGAUGGGACGAGCUGCUGAAGCUCUUCAUGCUGCAUCAGAAGCUCUCGCUGUCAACAGCUCUGAGCCUACGUCCAACUUCAUGAUGGCUGUUAUUUUAGAAUCAAAGAAGAACUUCACAGGUGCAAUUUACCACCUUCAACAAGUUUUGGUCCAUGGACCUAACAGCUACUUACGAGGAGCUGCUACAAAAUUUCUGCAUCAGACGUCAUGCAGGUUCAAAUUUAGGAGUAAAGAUUCUUCAGCCACAGCUUCCAGUACAGAGAAUAGAGCGGCAUCAUGACACACCAUUUCCUACAAGACUGAUACUAGAGUAUUUAGCUACAUAUGAUGUGGUUCAUUUUACCAUGAACCUUAUGUAUGCUGGUAUGGUUAAAAAGCAGGAAGCAGACAGCUAUUAUCAUUCUCAAUUGGCUGCAAGACCAGAUUUGAAGCCAGCUCAUAACAGAUUUCAGUAAUCUCCUUCCCUGUUUGUUUUGGAAGAAAAUAAGGAUAAAUUCCAUUUGUAAAGUAAUAAAAACAUCUAUGUAAACGAAUUCCAGCCUUAAGUUAAGUGAACCAUUUCACUGUCCAAAUAAAUCACAAAUGUUUCUACA